UACGGGGGGAGCAAGCGUUGUUCGGAUUUACUGGGCGUAAAGGGCGCGUAGGCGGCCACCGCAAGUCGACUGUGAAAUCUCCGGGCUUAACCCGGAAAGGUCAGCCGAUACUGCGGGGCUAGAGUGCAGAAGGGGCAACUGGAAUUCUCGGUGUAGAGGUGAAAUUCGUAGAUAUCGAGAGGAACACCGGCGGCGAAGGCGGCCAACUGGACGAAUACUGACGCUGAGACACGAAAGCGUGGGGAGCAAACAGG
rnacentral:rRNA from 1 species